AAAUUGAAGAGUUUGAUCAUGGCUCAGAUUGAACGCUGGCGGCAGGCCUAACACAUGCAAGUCGAACGGUAACGGGAAGCAGCUUGCUGCUUCGCUGACGAGUGGCGGACGGGUGAGUAAUGUCUGGGAAACUGCCUGAUGGAGGGGGAUAACUACUGGAAACGGUAGCUAAUACCGCAUAACGUCGCAAGACCAAAGAGGGGGACCUUCGGGCCUCUUGCCAUCGGAUGUGCCCAGAUGGGAUUAGCUUGUUGGUGGGGUAACGGCUCACCAAGGCGACGAUCCCUAGCUGGUCUGAGAGGAUGACCAGCCACACUGGAACUGAGACACGGUCCAGACUCCUACGGGAGGCAGCAGUGGGGAAUAUUGCACAAUGGGCGCAAGCCUGAUGCAGCCAUGCCGCGUGUAUGAAGAAGGCCUUCGGGUUGUAAAGUACUUUCAGCGGGGAGGAAGGGAGUAAAGUUAAUACCUUUGCUCAUUGACGUUACCCGCAGAAGAAGCACCGGCUAACUCCGUGCCAGCAGCCGCGGUAAUACGGAGGGUGCAAGCGUUAAUCGGAAUUACUGGGCGUAAAGCGCACGCAGGCGGUUUGUUAAGUCAGAUGUGAAAUCCCCGGGCUCAACCUGGGAACUGCAUCUGAUACUGGCAAGCUUGAGUCUCGUAGAGGGGGGUAGAAUUCCAGGUGUAGCGGUGAAAUGCGUAGAGAUCUGGAGGAAUACCGGUGGCGAAGGCGGCCCCCUGGACGAAGACUGACGCUCAGGUGCGAAAGCGUGGGGAGCAAACAGGAUUAGAUACCCUGGUAGUCCACGCCGUAAACGAUGUCGACUUGGAGGUUGUGCCCUUGAGGCGUGGCUUCCGGAGCUAACGCGUUAAGUCGACCGCCUGGGGAGUACGGCCGCAAGGUUAAAACUCAAAUGAAUUGACGGGGGCCCGCACAAGCGGUGGAGCAUGUGGUUUAAUUCGAUGCAACGCGAAGAACCUUACCUGGUCUUGACAUCCACGGAAGUUUUCAGAGAUGAGAAUGUGCCUUCGGGAACCGUGAGACAGGUGCUGCAUGGCUGUCGUCAGCUCGUGUUGUGAAAUGUUGGGUUAAGUCCCGCAACGAGCGCAACCCUUAUCCUUUGUUGCCAGCGGUCCGGCCGGGAACUCAAAGGAGACUGCCAGUGAUAAACUGGAGGAAGGUGGGGAUGACGUCAAGUCAUCAUGGCCCUUACGACCAGGGCUACACACGUGCUACAAUGGCGCAUACAAAGAGAAGCGACCUCGCGAGAGCAAGCGGACCUCAUAAAGUGCGUCGUAGUCCGGAUUGGAGUCUGCAACUCGACUCCAUGAAGUCGGAAUCGCUAGUAAUCGUGGAUCAGAAUGCCACGGUGAAUACGUUCCCGGGCCUUGUACACACCGCCCGUCACACCAUGGGAGUGGGUUGCAAAAGAAGUAGGUAGCUUAACCUUCGGGAGGGCGCUUACCACUUUGUGAUUCAUGACUGGGGUGAAGUCGUAACAAGGUAACCGUAGGGGAACCUGCGGUUGGAUCACCUCCUUACCUUAAAGAAGC
rnacentral:rRNA from 1 species